rnacentral:rRNA from 1 species
AAUCAACGCUGGCGGCGUGCCUAACACAUGCAAGUCGAACGCGAAAGCCCCUUCGGGGGUAAGUAGAGUGGCGUCCGGGUGAGUAACACGUGGGUAAUCUGCCUCCGGGUGGGGAAUAACCCAGGGAAACUUGGGCUAAUACCGCAUAAUGCAGCGGCACCUAAUGGUGAUUAGUUGUUAAAGAGGGGGACCCUUCGGGGCCUCGCGCCUGGAGAGGAGCCUGCGGCAGAUUAGCUAGUUGGUGAGGUAAUGGCUCACCAAGGCUUCGAUCUGUAGCUGGUCUGAGAGGACGGCCAGCCACACUGGCACUGACACACGGGCCAGACUCCUACGGGAGGCAGCAGUGGGGAAUUUUGGGCAAUGGGCGAAAGCCUGACCCAGCAACGCCGCGUGAGGGAGGAAAUCCUUCGGGAUGUAAACCUCACAAGCAAGGGAAGAGAGCCGCGGGCUGAAUAAUCUCGCGGUCCGACGGUACCUUGCGUAAGCCACGGCUAACUACGUGC